AAAAACGUCCGAUCACCGAAGUCUAGCAACAUCGGGCGUGGUCAGUACUUGGAUGGGUGACCGCCUGGGAACACCACGUGAUGUUGGCU
rnacentral:rRNA from 1 species